rnacentral:lncRNA from 1 species
CCAUGAUGUGCAUGAUGUGGAUGAUGAUGUGGACACCUGGCAUGUCAAACUUGCAAACAUUAAUUGCAGUUAGUGGGGAUCAACUUUAUAAGUUAUAUAGAUUGCCUAGUCCUUUUCAUCAGAUCGAUCUUUUGCUUGCGUUAACUAGCGGAUGAAGCCCUUCGGAUACUAACGGCUCUCCCAAUGCAUAAUCUGUUAGCAGGUUAUCUUAGGUGGUGAUAAUUCAUAAGAGACAAACUUCAUAAUACAUUAUCUCUUAGUUGUUGUCUCUAAAGAAGGUUGUGUUGGUUAAUUUUGGAGGUAUGAUUGCAUUUGACUGAGGGAAUUAAUGCUUUUGUCUAUGUCUAAGUGCAAGAGCUCUAUCACAGUAAGCAAGAGAUAACCUCACUCUUUUUCUUUUUUCUUUUUCUUUUGCGGGUAACAUCACUCUUUUUCUUCAUUAAUUAGUACGCCAUAUGCCAUCAAAAUGCUUAAAAUUUUGUCUCAAGAUACCCCAACUGAGAGAGGCCUAAUUCAAUAGUAGUUGCUAGAUAAGCCAACUAGGGAAUUGAUUAUUUUCUUGUGAUAAGACCUAUUUAUGCCAGUGGAAUAAGAUGUCGGCUUGUUAAAACAUCACCAUUGGAAAUUACGGCUACAAACUAGCACACCCUAACUCUUGGUAUUUGAUUUGCUACAAUUUGAACACAGGAUCGGGUCUUGGCCUAUGAGUUAAAAUAGUAGUUGGGGAGUUGGAGCAGUAAAGCCAAUAAGUACUCGGACCUGAUUAAAUGCGCUCUGUCCCGUCUGUUAGAGUGUGUGGCUAGCUGUGGUUAGAAGCGUAACGAGGCUGUAACGCUAACGGUAUCUACGCUCAUCUUCUUGGCCGCAUAAUUACUGACACCGUUUAGCUGAUUGUGUUUCAAUUAAUUAGCUGAUUGUGUCUUCUAAUAAAGUAUUGAUUAGCAUUGUACUUGACAUCAUAUUAAAACAAAAAGCUCUCCAUGUGACAUAAAACUCUGCAUAGGACACCUCAAACCUUUUUCUUCUCUCUUGUUCUCUCUCUCAAUUUUUACGUGUGACAUAAAGCUCUGCACAUAUUUCUUCCCAUUUCUUUUCUACUGCCAAUGAAAAUUUAUUUACAGGAGAACUAAUGUACAUAUUUUUAUUUCUUUUCUUAUUUUAUUUUAUUUUUUGUUCAAAAUUUGAAAGUGCACAAAUGAUGUUACAUUGCUCGUUAUCGAUGUAGAUUAUGGUACCUCCUCAACUCAUAAUUGUACCUCAUGCACCAAGAAAAAAACAUUGGUACAUGAUGGUACUUAAAUCACAAUAUCCGCCAAAAUAAAACAAGUACCUCCUCAACUUAUAAUUGUACGUCAUGUAUCAGUAUCAGAAAAAAAAAUAUGCACAAACAUUCAUCAAAACUUAGUACCUCAUGAUGUACCAAUUCAUCAAAACUUAGUACCUCAUCUGUAAAUACUGUGUUCAUCAACUCAUAAUUGUACGUCAUGUAACAGGAGAAAAAUAUAAGCACAAACAUUCAUCUAAAUUUAGUACCUCGUCACGUACCUAUUCAUUAAAACAUAGUACCUCGUCUUACCUCGUCUGUAAAUAUUGUCUACAUCAAUUGUACGUCAUGUACUAGAAAAAAAAUCAAAAACACAGACAUUCAUCAAAACUUCGUACCUACCGAUGACACAUGAGGUACUCAAAAAACACGGCACACCGUUCAAGAAUACAUGUUACAAAUCAACUCAUCGGCACCUUCCACGAAUCCGAUUCACUAGAUGGUAUACAUCUUCGGUAAGGGAUCAGGUGGCAUGAAGCUCACCGUCGAUGGAUCUAUAUAAAAAAAGUACUUUCUGCACUCACCACCGACUUGCCGCCACAGGCUUUGGGACUGGAUCUUCCGGCGGGUCGGCAGGCAGGGACGGGUCCUG